CAAGUCGAACGAAUCCCAUUUGGGUAACUGAGUGGGGGAAGUGGCGAAAGGGGCAGUAAGGCAUGGGUAACUUGCCCCGGAGUUCGGGAUAGCCUUCCUAACGGAUGGGUAAUACCNAAUGCCGUACCGAGGGGGCCUCCUCUUGGUACGAAAGUUCCNACGCUCCGGGAGAGGUCCAUGUGGUAUUAGCUAGUUGGUGGGGUAACGGCCCACCAAGGCGAAGAUGCCUAGCAGGUGUGAGAGCACGACCUGCGUCACUGGCACUGGGACACUGGCCAGACUCCUACGGGAGGCUGCAGUCGAGGAUCUUCGGCAAUGGGCGAAAGCCUGACCGAGCGACGCCGCGUGUGCGAUGAAGGCCUUCGGGUUGUAAAGCACUGUCGAGGGGGAGAAAAGCCGCAAGGCUUGAUCGACCUCUGGAGGAAGCACGGGCUAAGUUCGUGCCAGCAGCCGCGGUAAGACGAACCGUGCGAACGUUGUUCGGAAUCACUGGGCUUAAAGGGUGCGUAGGCGGGCUCGUCAGUCGGGGGUGAAAUCCCACGGCCCAACCGUGGAAGUGCCUCCGAUACUGCGGACCUGGAGGGGGAUAGGGGCGUGCGGAACUUCCGGUGGACC
rnacentral:rRNA from 1 species